ACAGUUGGGUGGUCUGUCGCGACAAACUUGUUUUUGGCGAGGAAAGUCCGGGCAACACAGAGCAUUCUACUUCCUAACAGAAAGCUAUCCGUGAGGGUGGAGUAAUGCAGAAGAAAAUAACCGCCUAUAUUUAUUUAUGGGCAAGGGUGAGAAGGUAAGGUAAGAGCUUACCAGAUAUAUGGCGACAUAUAUGCUGUGCAUCUUAGAAGUUGUAAGGUCAUGUAAACCGACGUUUGAGAAUUGCUCGUUCGAUGUCGGAGGGUAGACCGCUAAAGUGUAAUAGUGAUAUUACAUUCAGAUAAAUGGCAGACACUGCUUGAAAAAGCAGGACAGAACCCGGCUUACAACCUGACUGUUUUU
rnacentral:RNase_P_RNA from 1 species